rnacentral:tRNA from 1 species
GUUGGGUAGAGCAUCUGCUUUGUAAGCAGGAGGUCGCAGGUUCGAGUCCUGCCAGGAGCAUAGGAGGC